GAUGAACGCUAGCGGCAGGCCUAAUACAUGCCAGUCGAACGGGAUCCAGAUCAAAGCUUGCUUUGGUUUGGUGAGAGUGGCGCACGGGUGCGUAACGCGUGAGCAACCUACCCUUGUCAGGGGGAUAGCCCGGCGAAAGUCGGAUUAAUACCGCAUGACAUCAUUGAGAGGCAUCUUUCGAUGAUCAAAGAUUUAUCGGACAAGGAUGGGCUCGCGUGACAUUAGCUAGUUGGUAAGGUAACGGCUUACCAAGGCUACGAUGUCUAGGGGCUCUGAGAGGAGAAUCCCCCAGACUGGUACUGAGACACGGACCAGACUCCUACGGGAGGCAGCAGUAAGGAAUAUUGGUCAAUGGACGGAAGUCUGAACCAGCCAUGCCGCGUGCAGGAAGACGGCCCUAUGGGUUGUAAACUGCUUUUAUACGGGAACAAACGUCGGUACGUGUACCGGUCUGAGUGUACCGUAAGAAUAAGGAUCGGCUAACUCCGUG
rnacentral:rRNA from 1 species